CAGAAACUCAAAGGAAUUGACGGGGCCCGCACAAGCGGUGGAGUAUGUGGUUAAUUCGAUGCAACGCGAAGAACCUUACCUGGUCUUGACAUCCCGGAGACCCUUAGGAAACUAGGGGGUGCUUCCAUCUGGAAGAAUCUGGAGACAGGUGCUGCAUGGCUGUCGUCAGCUCGUGUCGUGAGAUGUUGGGUUAAGUCCCGCAACGAGCGCAACCCUUGCCUUUAGUUGCCAGCAGUUCGGCUGGGCACUCUAAAGGGACUGCCGGUGUUAAACCGGAGGAAGGCGGGGAUGACGUCAAGUCCUCAUGGCCUUUAUGACCAGGGCUACACACGUACUACAAUGGCCGAUACAAAGGGCAGCGACACUGCGAGGUGAAGCCAAUCCCGUAAAAUCGGUCUCAGUCCGGAUUGGAGUCUGCAACUCGACUCCAUGAAGUUGGAAUCGCUAGUAAUCGUGGAUCAGCAUGCCACGGUGAAUACGUUCCCGGGCCUU
rnacentral:rRNA from 1 species